CUAAAAAAAGUUUAAAAAGGUACAGUCAAUUUUACAACACACUUGCCUCUGACCAGCAGUGAUUGUCACAUUCUCCGCAGGCAGAGGCACUGAAGACACAUUAGAGGCAGUAAAGAUCUUGGUCUCAGAAAGCUGGAAAGAAAGAAAUCAGUUACUCCUGAUGUCAGAAAUUUGCCACAGGAUGAAAAUUUAAAUCAUCAAUGAAACUUACCCCAUUCCUUGAGCAGAAAAUCUUCCUCCUCGCCUACCAGAACUACCUGCAGAAAACCAGAAGUAUUUUGGAAGCUGAUAUUGAAAAUCUAUCCAGCCAAGACAUCUGUGGAACAGCCAAGUGUUUACUUCUUCCAGUCCCAUGGAGCACACCAAUUAAUCUAACAUGGGACAAUCAUUACUGUCAACAGCUGUUCAUCUGCUGCUUAAACUGCCAAAGAGGAGGAUGCAGGGUGGGGGGUGGGGGGAUAGAUAGCUCAGGUAAAGUGCUAUAAAUGUCUAAGCAUAAAAACCUCAACAUGAUAGAUCCCAGGGUAAGCCAAACAGGCCACUGGUGAAUUUCCAGGCCAACAAGAAUGUCUUAAACAAAACAAACAAAAAAAACAAAAAAACCCACAAGGGGUAAAAUUAGAUAAAAUUCUUGGACUACUCCAGCCAGAUGGAUUCUAUGCAUCACCCUGGGUGGUAGAAGCUGUUCCCUUUACCUGGGUUUAUUAAAUUGGUACUGAAAAUUCUAAAACCAAUGGGCCUGAAUGUACAAGAGAAGUAAGAAUCAUUGCCAACUUAGAUGCUAAUUACCCAAUUCAAGUCCUCAGUUGUGGAGUCUAUCCAUUACCAAAUAAAGUAUUAUGAAUAAA